GCCGGCAGCUAGCUCUCUGCAACUCUAACAUGGUCAUCCACUGAAGCUAAACUGGGCUGCGCCCGGUCAGUACCUGGAUGGGAGACCACAUGGGAAAGCUAGGUUGCUGCUGGAA
rnacentral:rRNA from 1 species